GAGAUGAACUGCCGAAGGAACAAAAUUGCUCUGACUCAGCAGGAGAAAGAAGGCCCCGUCCUGCGGGUUUGGCAUGGCGAUCGGUUGCUGUAGCAGCACUUGUUGGUCAAUGCAGAGGGUGAGAUUGGGCAGGCUAGAACUUCAAUCCUUGAAACACAGGAGGCUAAGGAGUGUAUAAAAUUAGAGGGGAAUUGACAGGGUGAAUACAUAGUCUUUUACCCAG